UACGAAGGGGGCUAGCGUUGCUCGGAUUUACUGGGCGUAAAGGGCGCGUAGGCGGACAGUUAAGUUGGGGGUGAAAGCCCGGGGCUCAACCUCGGAAUUGCCUUCAAUACUGGCUGUCUUGAGUGUGAGAGAGGUGUGUGGAACUCCGAGUGUAGAGGUGAAAUUCGUAGAUAUUGGAAGAACACCAGUGGCGAAGGCGACACACUGGCUCACUACUGACGCUGAGGCGCGAAAGCGUGGGGAGCAAACAGG
rnacentral:rRNA from 1 species